rnacentral:rRNA from 1 species
UGGGGAAUAUUGGACAAUGGGUGAGAGCCUGAUCCAGCCAUGCCGCGUGCAGGAAGAAGGCGUUAUGCGUUGUAAACUGCUUUUUGCCAGGGGAUAAAAAGACCGUGCGCGGUUAAUUGAAGGUACCUGGUGAAUAAGCCACGGCUAACUACGUGCCAGCAGCCGCGGUAAUACGUAGGUGGCAAGCGUUGUCCGGAUUUAUUGGGUUUAAAGGGUGCGUAGGUGGCCCUGUAAGUCAGUGGUGAAAUAUCUCAGCUUAACUGAGAGGGUGCCAUUGAUACUGCAGGGCUUGAGUACAGAUGAGGUAGGCGGAAUUGACGGUGUAGCGGUGAAAUGCAUAGAUAUCGUCAAGAACACCGAUAGCGAAGGCAGCUUACCAAGCUGUAACUGACACUGAGGCACGAAAGUGUGGGGAUCAAACGGGAUUAGAUACCCUCGUAGUCCCUGAGCGGGCUGGCAAGGCGCAU